rnacentral:rRNA from 1 species
UCCAGACUCCUACGGGAGGCAGCAGUCGGGAAUAUUGCGCAAUGGAGGAAACUCUGACGCAGUGACGCCGCGUGCAGGAAGAAGGUUUUCGGAUUGUAAACUGCUUUAGACAGGGAAGAAACAAGACAGUACCUGUAGAAUAAGCUCCGGCUAACUACGUGCCAGCAGCCGCGGUAAUACGUUGGGAGCAAGCGUUAUCCGGAUUUAUUGGGCGUAAAGCGCGCGUAGGCGGCCUGUUAGGUCGGGGGUCAAAUACCGGGGCUCAACCCCGGUCCGCCCCCGAUACCGGCAGGCUUGAGUCUGGUAGGGGAAGGCGGAAUUCCCAGUGUAGCGGUGGAAUGCGCAGAUAUUGGGAAGAACACCGGCGGCGAAGGCGGCCUUCUGGGCCACGACUGACGCUGAGGCGCGAAAGCUAGGGGAGCGAACAGGAUUAGAUACCCGAGUAAA